GCAUGGCUUUGGAUUUAUGGCAGGCCCUGCUCUGUGGGCCUCUCAUAGUGUACCCCAUGCCAAAGCAGCUGCCCUCCCAGAACCAUUGGCUGGCCUGGCUGACUGUCGCUCCAGCCACUGAAGUGGGUGGCACAUGU